UGAGAUUCUUCUAAUCUACUGG
rnacentral:miRNA from 1 species